rnacentral:lncRNA from 1 species
GUUGGAACAUAUGGAACAAGGGUGCAAGUGUUGUUUCUCUUAAGUGCUAUUAUUUUAUCCUCCAUAGCCUGUUUCUAACAUUUUAUUUGAAGUGCUUCAUGAACAGUAACAGAUUCUUUUAAUGGUAAGCAUUCAACAACAUAAAACUAGAAAUCAAAUGAAUACUAUUUUAGUUUAGAAACUCCAACCUUUGAUCUAGU